rnacentral:misc_RNA from 1 species
CGCAUCUUGCGCCCCUUGGUAUUCCGAGGGGCAUGCCUGUUUGAGUGUCGCGUGAACUCCUCGCCCCCUUCCGACAUCGUUCGGUCGGGCGGCGGAUUUGGACCGUGCCGCCGCGAGGCGGCUCGUCUUGAAAUGCAUCGGCCUGGUGCCCGUCCGGUUCCGACUAGGUGUGAUAAACGUCAUCGCCGAAAAGUCCGGUCCAUGCCUCGCCUUACCGCCCUCGGGCAAACUUUUUCAUUGCGCUCUGACCUCAAAUCAGGUAGGACUACCCGCUGAACUUAA